rnacentral:rRNA from 1 species
UACGAAGGGGGCUAGCGUUGUUCGGAUUUACUGGGCGUAAAGCGCACGUAGGCGGACCGCUAAGUCGGAUGUGAAAGCCCUCGGCUUAACCGAGGAAGUGCAUUCGAAACUGACAGUCUUGAGUAUGGAAGAGGGUCGCGGAAUUCCCGGUGUAGAGGUGAAAUUCGUAGAUAUCGGGAGGAACACCAGUGGCGAAGGCGGCGACCUGGGCAGAUACUGACACUGAGGUGCGAAAGCGUGGGGAGCAAACAGG